GUUGUCAUGUAUACAAGAUAAUUCAGACUAUCGAGAUUAAAGUACUAAACUUUUAUUAUUUUUAUUAUUUUAAGAAACUGCUGAAAGUGUUGUAGGUCUUGCUGUUAUUGCAUCAUAAGUAUAUACGAGCCAAUCAGGUUUCAGUAUGCAAAUGGAGACCAUGCAGCACCAGUUUGACUGUGAGAUGAGCGAUGAAUUUUAUGAAGUUCAAUCUGUGCGUUUAGACAAACGGGGUUAAAGAUCAUUCUUUUCUGUGGCUCGAGAGAAGGAAAAUAGCCGACGUCAAACCAGUAUGUAUCGACUAAUAGGUCCCAGGAACGUUGGUUUGGUUCUUCAUAAUAAGUGCGAUCCAGUGUACUCGGAACUCGGCCGUUUCCCGAGUCGUACGUGUACGGCUUGUCUCUGAAUCUUCUCGGCGUAUAGAGAACAUCUACCCGGAUUGUUUCCACGCGGUUCGAAAUGCCGUGUAAGAUAAGGCAACUUCCAUGUUUGCUUUUGCUCAAAAAAACUAUCACGGGAGUAAAAAUCCAUCGGAAAUGAACAGAAUUAAGUUACAAAGCUGUUAAAGCACGUUUUCACGACACAAAGCGAUCGAGAGCGGGGUCUGGUUACUGUUGACCCUCUGUGUCGCCAUUUUGUUGUGUUUGGAGGGCGUUGUCCGAGAUGAAUGAACGCUCCAGCGCAUUUUCCCCUGUCUGAGGCCAGGUUUUUCUGAGUACGAUCGAUUUAUUAUUUUUUUUUUCACAUCCACUGAGUGGCAGUAUUGUACAGGGGGGAAAAAUCUCCAGCUC